UGUCCGACUCCUCCCCGUAGCUGUUGUUGACAGUGGACACAGCCUGUCUUUUCUCCUCCUGGCACCCUUGGCUUGUUUAAAGUGUAUGCUAAGACUGCUAAUCUCUCCGUAUUCCCUGUAUCUCCGCUGUAUCUCCGCUGAACGGCAAUUGCCUGAAUACCGCAUACCCGUGCUGGUGAAGGGAUAUUAGAGCUCACUUCCAUUUCUUCGGAUUCUCUCUCUCUCACUCGUGAGCGAUCCGUUUCGGCUGUAGUCGCAGUCCUGUUUGUCUUCCCUCCGUCAUACUACGAGAACGCUGUAUUUUCCAGCUGAUCUGAUGGAUUGUCGCUGUCUGGUUUCUUUAUAUCAUUGUUUAGUGUAUUUUUGGGUUGCCAUUCAAUAAUUUGUAAGGGGAAUAUCAUUUUGCGGUUGCUCCUUUCAAGUUUGUUUACAUCAUUAUUGGUAUUGAGUUAAUUUGUUUAUU